rnacentral:rRNA from 1 species
UACGAGGGGGGCGAGCGUUGUUCGGAAUUAUUGGGCGUAAAGGGCGCGUAGGCGGUGCGGUAAGUCUGAUGUGAAAUCUCCGGGCUCAACUCGGAGUCUGCAUCAGAAACUGCCGUGCUCGAGUGUGGGAGAGGUGAGUGGAAUUUCCGGUGUAGCGGUGAAAUGCGUAGAUAUCGGAAGGAACACCUGUGGCGAAAAGCGGCUCACUGGACCAUUACUGACGCUGAGGCACGAAAGCUAGGGGAGCAAACAGG